AGGAAAUGUGCCCGAAAGUUUAAGGAAUACUUUGAUAGAGUACACCACAGGAGUUAAAAUCUCCUCAUUUCCU
rnacentral:tRNA from 1 species